rnacentral:rRNA from 2 species
GCCUUGUACACACCGCCCGUCACACCACGAGAGUUUGUAAUACCCAAAGCCGGUGAGCUAACCUUUUAGGAGGCAGCCGUCUAAGGUAGGAUAGAUGAUUGGGGUGAAGUCGUAACAAGGUAGCCGUAUCGGAAGGUGCGGCUGGAUCACCUCCUUU